GUGUGUUAGUCCCAGGAAACCUUUGGCUCUGCCUCCUGGGGACCCGGUGUUUCACGAUGGCUCCAGAGCUCUCUAGGAAAGCAGGUGACAGGCUGGUGUCUUGGGAAGGAAUCACCCUGCAUCUGCCCAGCUGAUAAUAAGGCUCCACGGAGGGGAGGGCCAAGUAGGUGGCCCGCAGGCAGCCUGGGCACAGGGUGGCAGCCCAGUCAUCAGACCUCUGGCGUUCGGUGUGUGCCAGGAUGAUGUUCACGGAGAGGAGACUGCCGGCAGGUAGGGCAUCCAGGCACAUGGAGUGAAGAAAAUGACAACUCUGAGCACAAUGGGAACGGAUGGCUGUGACUACUGGGCCUGGACGACCCCAGGGGAUAAUGAGUGGGGCUGACAGGAGUAGCCCCCGUCAGGCAGGCAGGGAGCAGCAAAGCCGAAGAUGAAUCACAGGCCUUGAUAAGGAGGUGGCCCUCCAAAGACGGCCAGAUGCUCCCCAGAGCAGCUUGGGCAGGCCAGGGCAGGAGCCCUGUGGGGGACCUGAGUGCCUGGGGAGUGGGGACUGGGGCGUGCGGAGAAGUCCGAAGAGCACACUCCCGAUGCCUCUGAAACUUGCAGCCUGCUGGGGUGCCCGCCCCCAGGGGCACCCACGUGCCCCCACAGGAGAAAAAGUUACUGGAGCCUUCUGCCCUGGGGAUGCCCCUCCCAGGAGCUGCCUCACCUGUCUCUGCCGCAGGGACAGUGACUGCCAUCUCGCUUGGCUGUGGGACUUGUGGAGCUACACACAGGAGAGCAGCAGGCCAUGCAGGAAGAGCUGAGAGCCUGCUGCCAGGCCCCUGAGCAGGCAGGGUGUGCUGGGCCUGGAGGGAGGACAGGGAGGACACCGGAAGAGGAGCAGGAGCGGCAUGCGCGCAGUGGCAGGGCCAGGGUCCCCGGAAGGGGAUCUGAGCACGGCAGCCAGGGGCCUGCAGAUAAGGCACUUGCAGUACCCUGCUAGGAAACAGAACUUGCUGCUCUGGAAGGCCGGGCCAGGGGCACAGACUCGCCUCGGGGAUGGGUGCUAGAAGCCUACAGAGAACAAAGGCCCACACUGAGCAGCCUUGAAAGGCCUGCAGGGCACAGAGGAAGGGAGCCAUGAGGCCGGGGAAGGGUCCCCCUGGAACUGGGUGGAUGAGUGAGGCCAGAAGAGCCCCCUCAGGGGGAAUAUAUUCCCUGAGAGGGCUCAGAAGACACACGGUGCACCGAGGGGGUCAGGGAUGAGCCAGAGAAAGGCUCCUCUGCAGGCCGGGUGGAGGCAGAGGAGGCUGCUCCGUAGCACGGCUCACUGUGAACAGGGUGCUUGGCUGCCUCUAUUCCCCCUCCUCCCCUGCAGCAGCAGCAGCUGGAGUGGAGGCCAGGGCUGCACUGAACAGCACUGAGCAGCCAGAAGCCAGGCGAAAGGAUUGGAUGCCGCUGACAGUGGGGAGUGACAGAGACUCUCGGGACCACACAGCCUCCCUAGGGGCACAGAGGCUGCGCACCCAGGUGGGUACAGCUCCAAGUGGACCCCAGAGAGAGCGCGGCUGGGGAGCAGGAGGCAGCAGGAGGCCGAGUGCUGCCACCCCAACCAUCAGCCACCACGCUUCUGCCCCUAACCAGACUGCAGACCCGAACCCCACUGACCAGAGCAGAGGCUGGGGUAGGCACCAGGGACACUGCAGCACCAUGGCAAGGAGAGACUGCAAUGGUCGCACCGCCCUCCCUAAAGGGCCCCGAGGCCCUGUGUGGGGUUACUGAGCAGCGGGGAAGUGGGAAUAAGCGGACAGGGCUGCUGCAGUGUCCCAGGGUCGCUGGUAUCUGGAGUCUUGGUAAGCUCUGCGUGACAGCCAGCCUCGGGAAGUCCCUGCGCUUACGCUGCUGGACAAAUUGGUCACUGGACGAAGGCCAGAUGGCCCAUUCCCGGGGACCUGUCUGCUAGUCUUGACCUCAGACAGGCUGGCGGGGUCUGUCUGAAUUUGGCUCACACUGGCCAUAAUGAAAAAUUACAAGGCAAAGUUGCAAGCUAGCAUGCGCUCAAUGGGAGAAAACACAGAAAAAGAGGCAGGGAAAAUAUGCCUAAGUUGUAAACAUCCUUGCCUGUGGAAAUGGCCACAAGACAGUUGUUCCUGCUCCUCACUUUUCUGUACUCUCCAAAGCUGCCACAGGAGCUGCAGGUAGACCACUAGGUCAGCUGAGGGCCUCUGCUGAGGACAGCUCACUGAUCCCGCAGCCAAGGCUGUGGCUGACAGUGUGUCCCGCUAUCUGACUCACUUAGACAAACAAGCUAGGCCUCGGUCACCAGGCCAUGGUGUGUCAUCUGAAGGCCUCCCCUAAGCUUUGGAAGGCAAGGCCCAGGGUCCCUGCUUAUCUACAUAAAGACUGAAGCAUCCAAAGAGGAGAGUAGGGAAGAACAGGAAGGCUGACGGAAGAGCCUGAACUGUGGAAAGACGCCAACGGUGGCACAGACCCCCACACUAACGCUGGUGCGAUGGCUCAGUUCCGGAAGUUCACAGGAACUCGGCAGCCUGACUCUCCUUCAGUCUCCGACCCAGGCGCCGCUCCUACCCAGCGCAGUCCAAGCCCUGUGUGCAGCCUUUCUGGCCGCAGCUUUUUCCUAUCCACUCGGAACACCAAAGUCAAACCUGGAAAUGCACGCAGUUCUCAGCGUGAGCACAUGAUCUGGGCCUUGGUCAGGGGCCAUGGCCACACAGCAGCUGUCCAGAGGACAGGAAGGGGGGCGGGGGAGAGCCGGGAAUCAGGCCAGCUGAGGAUCCGCACAAAAUGGGGAGAGCUAGCCGGAGAGAACAAGGCUCCCUGUCUUCACGCAGUGGUCGGCCAGCUGCCCAGGCUUCUCUUGCAUGUGUGGAAUCCAGGCAGAAAAGGAAAGCUAAGGCAUGAGGAAGUGAGCGCGAGAGCCCAAAGAAGGAGCCCCUCUUCCUGGGGGCACGCUUGUCACAAGUGCAGGGCUCACUGUCCCCCGAGCGAGGGGAGGUGAGACACUCUGACCCUCAGGGCACGCCAGCCCAAACAGCCCCUGCAAGACACGGAAAGGAGACCCUUGGAGAUGAAGGGGACACAGUGUCUGAAACUCCAAUAGCCAGUGCGAUUGAAAUUAGUGCCAGACGCGGGUUAAAAGAACAAAAAAAAAAAGGAGCCCAAAAAAGCUCCUCCUCCUCCACAAGAACAAGACCCAGACCCGGAACUUGACAGAAAAACGGGACAAAGGCACUUCCCAGGAGACAAAGCCAGACUGGCCAAGGACUUGAAGGGAAGCCAGGAAUGUGAGUCAAAGCUGUCCCAGACCUCUGGGCUGCAGAUCUCUGGGCAGGAGCAAGGGUGAACCCUCUCCAGAUGAGGGCCUUCGCCUAGGCCUGCGAAGCCAGGAGCAAGGCGAGGAGAGGGGACUGCAUUUCAGAAGCCGCAGAGGGAGGCAAGGGAAGAGGACCCUGAAAGGCCCCCGAGAAGAGGAGGCUCACGGAAAUCACGCUGAGCCUAAAGAAUCGGAGGACAGCGCUUGGGCUAAAGAGAGGAACAGCAGGGCCAGGGAACUGGGGACACAGGGAGGCGCUGCGCGGAGAGCAGGUGCCCGGGACCAGAGAGC
rnacentral:lncRNA from 1 species